CUCACCAGGCUAAACUUUGGGAUCAUCACCCUCAUCCCCAAAGUAACUGGGGCCUCGGAUAUUCGCCAGUUUCGGCCGAUUACGGUGAUUAAUGUCAUCUUCUGCAUCCUCGCGAAGGGGUACGCCAUUAGGGUGGCCCCCAUUGCCGAUAGGAUCACUGACCCCGAUUAGUCGGCAUUUAUUCAGGGCCGUUAUAUCCUUGACGGAGUUCUGGUUUUCCAUGAAGCUUUCCAUGAGGUUCACUCCAAACACCUCAAGGCAGUCUUCCAGAAACUGGAUUUCCACAAGGUGUGUGACACGGUCAGCUGGCCCUUCCUUCGGGAAUGCCUGCUGCGUAAGGGCUUCAACGACAGGUGGGUCUCCCGAGUGAUGCAGAUGGUAUCCUCAGGCCGGACCACGGUGAACAUUAAUGGGGAGGUUGGCCCAUCCUUCCCCACAUUUUGUGGGGUGCGCCAGGGCGACCCUUUCUCACCGUUCCUCUUCAACAUGGUUGUCGAUGCUCUGGCAGCCAUCUUAGCUAAAGUUGUUCGAGAACGCGGUAAUUUCAAAAAAAUCCUACGACCACGCAAGAUAUAUCUAGGUGAUGCAUAA
rnacentral:rRNA from 1 species